rnacentral:lncRNA from 1 species
GUAGGUCGUUUCAUGGGAUUUGAGUCUGAGACAUUAAUUGCCUGUAGAUAACCAAUGACCUCCGGGUGGAUAAAUACGGGAUGCAUCGCACAGUCCUCACAGCGCCAGAUAUUUCAGGUGGACUGACUAAAAAGCAUCAGUCCCUCUGGUUUUAGUAGCACAAGUGACAGCAGAAGCCAAAACCUGGGCUGGUGUUGCCUCCAGGCAGGGACAAAGGAGAGUUAGGUCAGACUGGGGAGUGGAUCUCACUCCCCAUGGACUAGGAUUGGCAUCGAGGUUGCAUGCAGCUGUUUGACAGUGACAAUCAGCCUCAUCCUCUGGCUGGAGCCUGCAGUAGUCAAGGAGGUUAUCUUUACAGACCUGGAUCUGGAGAUUGGUCUGGAACCCCUGCUGUCCUAGGACACACACUUAGGGGCUCUUUCUGGGAAUCCUUGAUGCUGAUUUCCAUUGUAACCUAUGUUUCUGUUGAUUCCCUUAAAGGAGACGGUUUGGGUCCUUCUAAAGAGCUUCCUGGGUUGGAUUGACUUCAUGUACAUAUUGGGGAGUUUCUGCUUGCUCAUAUUCCACUGUCCUUCUCUUACACUUUGUCUAAUUGGAAAGGUCCACUGAGAUACAAGAGGAGAGAAGAACUCAAGUGUGUACCUGUAGGCUCCAGAUCACACACCGGAGGGAGUCCCAUGUGCCCUGAGGGGGAUCGGCGAUUGCAGGUAUAUUGACUGGAAAAUUGGGAAGACAGCCGAUGUGAACCAGAAACUACUUCCAGGCACAGCUACUGCGUCUACAAGUUACUGUAAAAUUGCAGAAGCGUCUAUUCCAAGUGCCUGAGUGGGCUGAGGAGCUUGGGAUCGUGUGAGAUCCGUGUCGGCUCCAGUGCAGUCUCUAGGUCUUUCUUGUUUCUGACAUGACUGGAGUCAGCCUCCCUCUGUCCCCAUCACUGUCUCUCUGGAGAGACCGGGUGCCCUGGAAAAGGAGCUCCUGCCUGUGUGGACAUGAGCAGGCAGAGGGUGCAUCGAUGGGAAUGGCUCAGUCUACAGGGGAUCAGAGGAACGGACAUGCUUAGAUCGACAGACCCAUGUAGGGGGCUCAGACCCUCAGAUGCUGGUGACAGAGGUGAUGUCAAUCACAGAGGAGUGAAGGUGUGAUCAGGGGCCCCAGGGGGGUGGUUUAUGUCUCACUUCCUCGUGGGCACACAGCACUGAGUACACUGAGGUCUCUGUCAUAUGUGUGACAGUAACAAUCACCUCGUCCUCAGGCUGGAGCCCACAGAUGGUCAAAGAGACCACGUUGCCUGACUUGGAGACAGAGAAUCAUCUGGAAUCUCUCAGGGCCUGGUACUUCCAAGAGUCAGAGUUUUGGGGCAGCACCACUGACAGCUGGAACCAACACACACUAUGGGAUCCAAUGUUGCUGUUCCCGGAGCAGGAGAUGGUGACCUCCUGGUCCAGGGUCCCUGACACCGAGGAUGGCUGGGUCAGCAAAGACCGUGCCCAGGACCCUGAAAUGAGGGACACAGAGUCACAGAGGUG